rnacentral:rRNA from 1 species
UUGAAGAGUUUGAUCAUGGCUCAGAUUGAACGCUGGCGGCAGGCCUAACACAUGCAAGUCGAGCGGUAGCACAGAGAGCUUGCUCUCGGGUGACGAGCGGCGGACGGGUGAGUAAUGUCUGGGAAACUGCCUGAUGGAGGGGGAUAACUACUGGAAACGGUAGCUAAUACCGCAUAAUGUCGCAAGACCAAAGUGGGGGACCUUCGGGCCUCAUGCCAUCAGAUGUGCCCAGAUGGGAUUAGCUAGUAGGUGGGGUAACGGCUCACCUAGGUGACGAUCCCUAGCUGGUCUGAGAGGAUGACCAGCCACACUGGAACUGAGACACGGUCCAGACUCCUACGGGAGGCAGCAGUGGGGAAUAUUGCACAAUGGGCGCAAGCCUGAUGCAGCCAUGCCGCGUGUGUGAAGAAGGCCUUCGGGUUGUAAAGCACUUUCAGCGGGGAGGAAGGCGUUAAGGUUAAUAACCUUGGCGAUUGACGUUACCCGCAGAAGAAGCACCGGCUAACUCCGUGCCAGCAGCCGCGGUAAUACGGAGGGUGCAAGCGUUAAUCGGAAUUACUGGGCGUAAAGCGCACGCAGGCGGUCUGUCAAGUCGGAUGUGAAAUCCCCGGGCUCAACCUGGGAACUGCAUUCGAAACUGGCAGGCUAGAGUCUUGUAGAGGGGGGUAGAAUUCCAGGUGUAGCGGUGAAAUGCGUAGAGAUCUGGAGGAAUACCGGUGGCGAAGGCGGCCCCCUGGACAAAGACUGACGCUCAGGUGCGAAAGCGUGGGGAGCAAACAGGAUUAGAUACCCUGGUAGUCCACGCCGUAAACGAUGUCGAUUUGGAGGUUGUGCCCUUGAGGCGUGGCUUCCGGAGCUAACGCGUUAAAUCGACCGCCUGGGGAGUACGGCCGCAAGGUUAAAACUCAAAUGAAUUGACGGGGGCCCGCACAAGCGGUGGAGCAUGUGGUUUAAUUCGAUGCAACGCGAAGAACCUUACCUGGUCUUGACAUCCACAGAACUUUCCAGAGAUGGAUUGGUGCCUUCGGGAACUGUGAGACAGGUGCUGCAUGGCUGUCGUCAGCUCGUGUUGUGAAAUGUUGGGUUAAGUCCCGCAACGAGCGCAACCCUUAUCCUUUGUUGCCAGCGGUCCGGCCGGGAACUCAAAGGAGACUGCCAGUGAUAAACUGGAGGAAGGUGGGGAUGACGUCAAGUCAUCAUGGCCCUUACGACCAGGGCUACACACGUGCUACAAUGGCAUAUACAAAGAGAAGCGACCUCGCGAGAGCAAGCGGACCUCAUAAAGUAUGUCGUAGUCCGGAUUGGAGUCUGCAACUCGACUCCAUGAAGUCGGAAUCGCUAGUAAUCGUAGAUCAGAAUGCUACGGUGAAUACGUUCCCGGGCCUUGUACACACCGCCCGUCACACCAUGGGAGUGGGUUGCAAAAGAAGUAGGUAGCUUAACCUUCGGGAGGGCGCUUACCACUUUGUGAUUCAUGACUGGGGUGAAGUCGUAACAAGGUAACCGUAGGGGAACCUGCGGUUGGAUCACCUCCUU